rnacentral:ncRNA from 2 species
CUCUGCAACCUCAUUACAGGUGCCCCGUGGCCUUCAGCCAUUCAGGGGAUAAUCGGGAAGUCAGGUGAAAAUCCUGCGCUGCCCCCGCAACGGUAACGAAAAGUGACAGGCUGAUACAACGCCACUGUGGAGAGAUCCAUGGGAAGGCUUCAGUCCAUCGGAACUGGCCCUUGACGCCAGAACCCUUUUCCAAGCCCGGAGACCGGCCAGUAAUGGUGCGAACCU